rnacentral:rRNA from 1 species
AUUGAACGCUGGCGGCAGGCUUAACACAUGCAAGUCGAGCGGGGGAAGGUAGCUUGCUACCGGACCUAGCGGCGGACGGGUGAGUAAUGCUUAGGAAUCUGCCUAUUAGUGGGGGACAACAUCUCGAAAGGGAUGCUAAUACCGCAUACGUCCUACGGGAGAAAGCAGGGGAUCUUCGGACCUUGCGCUAAUAGAUGAGCCUAAGUCGGAUAGCUAGUUGGUGGGGUAAAGGCCUAACAAGGCGACGAUCUGUAGCGGGUCUGAGGGGAUGAUCCGGCACAGUGGGGGUGAGACACGGCCCAAACUCCUACGGGAGGCAGCAGUGGGGAAUAUUGGACAAUGGGGGGAACCCUGAUCCAGCCAUGCCGCGUGUGUGAAGAAGGCCUUAUGGUUGUAAAGCACUUUAAGCGAGGAGGCUACUCUAGUUAAUACCUAGGGAUAGUGGACGUUACUCGCAGAAUAAGCACCGGCUAACUCUGUGCCAGCCGCCGCCGUAA